rnacentral:rRNA from 1 species
UACGUAGGGGGCGAGCGUUGUCCGGAUUCAUUGGGCGUAAAGCGCGCGUAGGCGGCUUCGUAAGUCGGCCGUGAAAUCUCCAGGCUUAACUUGGAGGGGUCGGGCGAGACUGCGGAGCUCGAGGUGGGCAGAGGGCAGUGGAAUUCCGGGUGUAGUGGUGGAAUGCGUAGAGAUCCGGAGGAACACCAGUGGCGAAGGCGGCUCACUGGACGACUGUUGACGCUGAGGUGCGAAAGCGUGGGGAGCAAACAGG